UCCAAGGCAACAUCUCACAUGCCACCAUACAAGAAAGCAAACUUUCCAGAGAUGUAGGAUAUGUCACCGACCCUGGUGGUGUUUAAAGAGCGUUUGGAUGUUGUGCUAAGGGACGUGGUUUAGUAGGAACCAUUGGUGAUUGGUGAAGGGCAAACGGUUGGACUGGAUGAUCCUGUGGGUCUUUUCCUACCUUAGCGAUUCUAUGAUUCUAUGUCCCUCACCCAACAGCAGCACAACGUUCUGCGUUCUGCAGGCCUGCAUUACGCCCUCACCCUGCUGUCCCCUGCCCCUGUGGUUUGCUUCAGCUGUGGAAACAGGAACUGCUGAGUCAGCGUGCUGGUGUAACUCACACUGCUCUCAUGGGGAGAGGGCUGCAGCGAGGGGGCUGGCAGCAGCUCACAGCCUGCAGGAAAACAAGUACUUACAUUCUCUUGCAGUGGCCUGAAAAAAUAAAUAAUCUCUUUGCUUAAAAACUCAAAGAGGUAGCAAGAACCCGAAGUCCCAGUUAUGCUUGAAGAAGCCAAGAUGCAGCUGGCUGAACAGGCAGAACAAGGCCAUCACAUUUGGCUCAUCUGCCUGGUGCCGAUAGAGAGCAGGAGCCUGUUCUGACUACGGACUCGUGCAGAGGUGAAAUUGCUCCCUUGGAACCAGUACAAGGUGGCCUGUUGAUGUUUGGAGGACCAGCUGCACAGAGUCAGGGGACAGAUUCUGCAACCCAGGAAGAGAAAGUGUUUGCUGUUCCCCCGCAGUGCCACACCUUUGAGACAUGCCCAGUUCGUCAAGACUGCGUGAUGGGA
rnacentral:lncRNA from 1 species